UCCCUGAAUUAUUUUCUCUUUAUUUGAGCCUACGCGUAGCUCAAGGAAGAAACAAUAAUCAAAAAGUGAAAACCCCACAAUCAUUUUCACUCAGAAUUCCUUUGUAACCUUCCUGUUCUUCAGCCAUAGCUAUCAUUUAGCCGAGAGAGAGAAGCACGUGCCAUUGAAGUGGAGGGUCCGCUGCUAAAGGAUGGGGGAAAAGGAAAUUGAAGCCAAGAAUGUAAUGAAGAGGUCGAAGAAAUCGCAACUUUAGUAAUGAAUUCUUUUGCUUGAUUGUUGGGAAAGUAAAAGGAUGCUUGAGAGUGGGGACUUGGAUUGGAAAGAAAAGAGAAAAGGCUUUUGAAGAUUGGGAGAUGAGAGCUAUAAAAGAUUUCAGAAUUUGGGCAUUUUUUGUUCUAUUUGUGUGACUUUUGUAGCAUCUUUAGACACUUUAUGUGCUUGAAUCUCGAUGAACUAAUAGACGGAGGCUUCUCUAACAAUGGGGGGUCAUUUGCUGAAACUGAUGGCAGAAGAGCUGCAAAUGUGUUGUAAUGAUUGAAGCUUUCUUUUUCAACAACACUUUGAUUCCUUUGGUAAGGAGAGAAGCCUUUGCUUCAUAAUUCUGGUUCCUUCUAUAUCAGGUUAUUUGAAGAGGAGAGAUGUAUGAGGAAUAAUUGUGGUAUAUAUCACAUUCUUUCCUUCCUUUGCUCUUUUUUGCCACCAACCACUUUUCUUUCUUCUCUUGAAUCAUAUGGAUGUGCUUGGUUCAGCAUAGCUGUAAGGUUAACCAUGGAAUUGGAAGUUUUGGAUGCAAACUAUCCUUCAUAGCCUAAACCAAUACUUUAGAAGCUCUUAAGAAACUGAUUAGUUUAUAGCCAGAUGGCUCGCUGCAUUUUCGAUAUCGCGACAUCAAAAUAAUCGACCGCCAUCACAGAGGAGGAUCUUGGACAUCUUCUUCAUUUUCUCUUGGCUUCUGGAUAUGGAUCAUCAGCUAUACAUUCUUAUGUAGAAGCCAUUUUUAUCAGCUUCGUUUUUGCUCCAAGCUUUUAGUUGAGGAAGAGAUAAGCCACCAUCUCAAAGUUAAAGGUAUGAGUGAGAUUGGUUCUGAAAGAUCAAAGUCAUGGAACAUAUACACAACUCCAGACCAGAGCCCAUCAUCUCAAACAGGCAUUGGUCAAGAAGCUCCUUGGAAGAACUUUGGAUCCUCCAUGAAUGCCAUUUCCUUUGGCUUUGUUGCUACUGCAAUCUUGAUAUCCAUGUUCCUUAUCAUGGCCAUCUUUGAGCAUUUGUUUAGACCAACUUCUUCUUUCUCGUCCUCUGGUGAAGUGACCAACAACUUUGCACAAUCAGGUCCGGUCGAGAAAUUCGCUAGUCCAAAUACGGUGCCAACAUCAUAUGCAGCUGAUUUCUCAGUGUUGAUGCCAGGUCAGCAUAUCCCCACCUUCAUUGCCCAGCCAGCCCCUCUGCCAUGCCAAAGAGAGGGGACUUAUUGGCCAUCUCACGACCAUAAUUUUUCAGGCCCUUGAAACAAAGAUGGUAUUUCUUGCCUCUAUUGGAAGCAGCUGCUGCAUUUAGGAAAACUGUCAGCUUUGCUUCUUCUCAGAAUAAUAAUUCUUGUGCUCCUUCACCCACUGGGAGAUUUGCUCAAAUGCUUAUGUUCUUUUUCAGUUUCUGAUCUGUAAAUUGAUUAUAAAAGAAUGGCACAAGUUCUUACACGAUUUCAAGGUGCAAGUAGAUAUCACUUCACUUCCUCACUGCACUGAGAAGGUGCUUUAAAAUUCAACAUUUUGAAAGGAAAGUGUUUCUGUA